AGAGCGAACGCUGGCGGCAGGCUUAACACAUGCAAGUCGAGCGCCCCGCAAGGGGAGCGGCAGACGGGAGAGUAACACGUGGGAACGUACCUUUCGGUUCGGAACAACCCAGGGAAACUUGGGCUAAUACCGGAUACGUCCGUAAGGAGAAAGAUUUAUCGCCGAAAGAUCGGCCCGCGUCUGAUUAGCUAGUUGGUGAGGUAACGGCUCACCAAGGCGACGAUCAGUAGCUGGUCUGAGAGGAUGAUCAGCCUCACUGGGACUGAGACACGGCCCAGACUCCUACGGGAGGCAGCAGUGGGGAAUAUUGGACAAUGGGCGCAAGCCUGAUCCAGCCAUGCCGCGUGGGUGAUGAAGGCCCUAGGGUUGUAAAGCCCUUUCGGCGGGAAGAUAAUGACGGUACCCGCAGAAGAAGCCCCGGCUAACUUCGUGCUAGCAGCCGC
rnacentral:rRNA from 1 species